UCCGCUUGUUAUAUUGGCCUUUGCUUCUCUCUACGACACACUUGGCAUGUGCUUGACCGAUGAAACUACAGUUCUGUUGCUGUAUGCUUUGGUUCAUGGGAAUUCAGACUUUCUAGAAUACGUUCUGGUUCGAACGGAUAUAGAUACAUUGGCUCAAGCUAUGUGAACACAAUUGGAAGACAUUCAAGCUCGUCUUGAAAAUGAGACGAAGGCGAGAGAAGAUCAUAUGGCUCGUCUUGAAAUUGAGAGAAAAGCAAGAGAAGAUCU